rnacentral:rRNA from 1 species
AUUGAACGCUGGCGGCAGGCCUAACACAUGCAAGUCGAGCGGAUGAAAGGAGCUUGCUCCUGGAUUCAGCGGCGGACGGGUGAGUAAUGCCUAGGAAUCUGCCUGGUAGUGGGGGAUAACGUCCGGAAACGGGCGCUAAUACCGCAUACGUCCUGAGGGAGAAAGUGGGGGAUCUUCGGACCUCACGCUAUCAGAUGAGCCUAGGUCGGAUUAGCUAGUUGGUGGGGUAAAGGCCUACCAAGGCGACGAUCCGUAACUGGUCUGAGAGGAUGAUCAGUCACACUGGAACUGAGACACGGUCCAGACUCCUACGGGAGGCAGCAGUGGGGAAUAUUGGACAAUGGGCGAAAGCCUGAUCCAGCCAUGCCGCGUGUGUGAAGAAGGUCCUCGGAUUGUAAAGCACUUUAAGUUGGGAGGAAGGGCAGUAAGUUAAUACCUUGCUGUUUUGACGUUACCAACAGAAUAAGCACCGGCUAACUUCGUG